UCCUCGCUUGGAAGAAUGGCGGCAAACUGAAUCGUUAGCUAUUUAGCUUCCACACUCAUCUCUUUCCUAUUUCAUUUUGUUGAACCAGAGGUAGCAUCUGCGAGCAAUGGCGUCCUGGAAUUCUACCGGAAUUGAUGAAGAUCAGCAGGUUUUAGUGGAAGAGAGGCGGUUUGCGAGGAUAUUGACUUUAAACAGACCUAAGCAGUUAAAUGCUAUCUCAUUCACAAUGGUUUCGCGGCUAUUGGAACUUUUUUCUUCCUAUGAGACAGAUCCCAGUGUGAAACUUGUGGUUGUCAAGGGUAAAGGAAGAGCAUUCUGUGCUGGAGGUGAUGUAUCGGCUGCGGCUCAUGCCAUUAAAGAGAGUGAAUGGAGGAAAGGUGCUUACUUCUUCCGGAAACAAUACACCUUAAAUUAUUUGUUGGCAACUUCCAGUAAGCCACAGGUUUCUCUUCUGAAUGGUAUUGUCAUGGGAGGAGGAGCCGGUGUUUCAAUACAUGGUAGAUUCCGUGUUGCAACAGAGAAAUCGAUUUUUGCAAUGCCCGAAACUUCUUUAGGACACUUCCCAGAUGUUGGUGCUUCUUAUUACUUGCCAAGACUCCGGGGAUUUUUUGGCGAAUAUGUUGGCCUAACAGGUGCCAGGUUGGAUGGUGCUGAAAUGCUUGCAUGUGGCCUUGCUACUCACUUUGUCCCUUCAGAGAGAUUAACGCAAUUAGAGGAAGCACUAUGCAGAGCAGAUACAAGUCAACCAAGCAUCAUCUCUGCAAUUAUUGAUAAAUUCUCCCGGACACCAAUUCUUCACGAGCAAAGUGCUUAUAACCGGUUGGAUGUUAUUGAUAAGUGCUUCUCCCGAAGAACAGUAGAAGACAUUUUGGCUGCUCUUGAAGAGGAGGCCCUGAAAAAGAAAGAUGAUUGGAUCGAUUCAACAAUUCGAGACUUGAAGAAGGCAUCACCAACAAGUCUUAAAAUCUCUUUGAGAUCGAUAAGAGAAGGCAGACUUCAAGAUGCUGGUCAGUGUCUCAUUCGUGAGUAUAGAAUGGCUUGUCAUGUCAUGCGAGGGGAAGUCAGCGAAGAUUUCAUUGAGGGUUGUAGAGCUUUACUGUUGGAUAAAGAUCGGAACCCAAAGUGGGAACCCUCAAAGCUGGAGCUUGUCACUGAUGCAAUGGUUGAGAGGUACUUCUCUAGGAUUGAAGACGAAGAGUGGGAAGACCUAAAGCUCACUGCAAGACCCAACUUGCCUGCUUCAGCCACUUCAAAGCUCUAGUUACCAUGAGUUUGCAACUUACUCAGAGAGGAGGAAAUAUCACAUCAUCCAUCCACAGAUACCGCUUAAGCUGUGAUAAAGGUCGGAAUCAAGCAUAUACUUCCCAACUUUGAGUUCCAAUGAAAGGGCACAAACCUUCAGCAGUGAAGGAAAUGUGAAUCUAUCAGCAACAUUUCUCGACCAUUGAAGCAUCUCAAAGUAACUAUGGAGUGCCCUUCUCGGCAUGUUGGAAUUCACAAGGCCUCUCAACAUGGUGUUCCAAGUAAGUAUAUCCAACUCUUGAGUGUGUGAAAAAACUGAAUAAGCAUAGGCAAGACCAGGCGAGCCCAUUGAGAGGACAUGGGCAAUGAGCUUGUUAAGUGAUGGCUUAUGGUGGAUGAAGCCAUUAACUACCAUUUUGUGCAUGAAAUUGCUUAAAUUUUGUUGAUUGUGUCCAUUUUGUUGCUUCUUUCUAAGAAUGGGAAAGAUAGGGUUUGGUUUU